UCCCUGAUGGUCCAGUGGUUAGGACUCAGCGCUUUCACUGCAGGGACCCAGGUUCGAUGCCUGGUCAGGGAA